AUGAAAGUUGGGGAAAGGGGGGAAGCAGAGGCAGAGGGGAGGCCCAGACAACAGCCUGAGGCGGCGGCCAGAAAGCGGACCUUCCAGGCCACUCACCAAAUCCAGCCACUGCUGGGCACUGGUCGUAGAAGUACUUGGAGCAGACCUCACGCACCACCCUGGCGUCCACCUCCUACAGGACGAUGCAGAGGGCACGCUGAGUGGCAAGGCCCCUGGGGACCGGUCAACAGCAUCCAGCCAGCCAAGACCUUCCCCAUGUACCGAGGAGCUGACCCCGCACCUGAACAGCGGCCCGACAGCCACCCAUGCCUCUGCCCUGCCCCCUGGGUUACACCACCGAGGCAGACCACACUGGAGGACACCGAGGUGCCCACAGGAGCAGUCUGCCUCAACACCCCACCCUCUGCAAGUCGGCCAGCUCAAGACUCCCAAAGCCCUCUCCCCCAGGGGCCUGUUACCGCAAUCCGGCUUUCCCACUCCGCCAGGGGAAUGCGGCGGCCGUAUGUCAGGAGACUGCGGCGGGUGGGCUGGAGUGCAGGAGAGAAGUGGGGAAAGCCGGGGGGAAAAGGGGGAGCCAGGGGAGGGGGAGCAGGGGGAGGACCACCCAGCAAAGCAGCAGGCCCACAGAGGCACACCUAUGCCCACCUGGGUGUUGCCCCCGGUGCUCUCCUGCACCAGGCUCCGAGACAUAGAGCAGCUCACAGCUGAGCGGGGAGUGAGGAGCGAGCACACGUCACUAGUGGUGCGGGGUGUCCAGGCCUACGCACCCCCACCUCCACAUCCACUUUGCAGCCACAAAGACUCGGCCACUGUCCCGAGUCCCCCACGCGGCCCCCGCACAUCUGUGUGCUCUUUCCCUAUCUCCCGCCUGGUACUCCAUCCCCCUACCCCCUCCCAGGGGCUGGGGUCUGGGGACCCCGUGACCCGCAUCCCAUUCCCCAGACCUGGUUGCUGUACACCCGGUAGCCGUGCCUCAAGGCGAAGAUCUUGCCCAGCGAGAUGGCAAUGGCGAACCCGACCACAGCGAUGGCGAAGGCAUUGCCCAGAAGCUUUGCAAACAGCUGUGGGUGGGGGGCCUUCGGGGGCACCAGCCUGUGAGGGGCAUCAGUGAGGCCAAAGGAAGGUUCUGGGCCUGGCCGCCCAACCCUCCCUGACCCCACAGGGGCUGGAGCUCACCCUGCGGGGAUUUUGCCCACGAUGUCCACCCCAAAUGCCUGCUGCAGGCCCACGCCGUAGGAGAUGCCUGUGGCCCCGAUGAGCUGCAGGGAAAGGACCGGGUCAGGGGAGGGCCUGGCACCAUCGCGGUGAAGCGGGGGAGAAAUCAGAGAAACCAUUUGCCGGGUAAAGCAAGAAGCCUGAAGAGAAACCUUCAGAGGGGUGGGGAGAAGGCAGCAAUAGGCUGAGAGCAGCACACGACUGACCGUUUUGAGAAAAGGGAGAUGCUGCCAGGAGCGGUCUGCUGGGGCUCCCCCCUCCCCACCACCCCGUCUUCAGUCCCCACUCCAGCUAGUUUCUAAAUACCUGGGGGGUGCCCACAAGGCAGGGACUCUCCUCACUUACCCUUCCCCCAGUCUGCCACCACCCCCGUACCCCACAUCACCCCCCACCCCAUCCCCACCCCCGAGGGGCCCCCAGAAUUCCAACCGUGAGCAGCUCCCCGGGGAGUGGCAUAGGCAGAUGUCGCCGUAGCUUUUCAUUCAGCAGCUUCACCAGCACGACUCCCGCCACGAUGGCAGUGAUCACGGUACCGACCACCGUCUGGGGCAGCUUCCAGCAGACCUCCAGUACUGUCUGAGGGGGGCAGGGUCACGGCCAGCUCUCCCGGUCCGGGCCCAUCCACCCGUCCCUCCUCCCUGCCCUCACUCACAUAGAUGAGGGACAGCGGUCCAGAGCGGCUGCUUAGAUGGAGGCCAAACACAUACUUGAGUUGCGAGAUAAACACGUGCACAGACGCGGCCGUGGUGUAGGCUCGGACCAGAGGCUCUGAUAGGUAGGUGACCACGAAGCCGAAGUGGACCAUGCCCAGUCCCACCUGUGGGGUGCACGGGACAAUCAGGGGAGGUGAGGGUCCUAGAGGUGGCCGGGGCAGAGCCCAGGGCAGGUGAGAUCAUGAGCGAUGAGGGGGCGGUGAUGGUCAGACACUCAGAGGAAACUGUCAGAUGGGGUGAGGUGGGGGUGCGGGGCAGGAUUGGCAGUCAGGGGCAUGUACUCCUGAUGGCUCUGCACCUGGAAGAGGCCCACGAGGACACUGAGAGUGGAGGCCAGCUGCACCCGGGUGUCGUCCCGGGCUGUCACGUUGACUGUGGAGUUCAAGCCCAGCAGGAAGGCGUCGUCCGGAGCCAGCGAUUCCAUCACACUGCCCACCAUCACGGACAUGACGGCAAAGGUGCCUGCAGGGGCAGAUCAGGGUGGUCUGAAGAAGGGAGAACACGGCUUGCCCUGGAUUCUGGGUCUUAAGGGAGCGACCAGGAGACACCAAUUCUAGACAAAUGUCUGCAGACUAUGCUGUGCUAAUGGAGGGCAGUGCUGACGGUCAGGUAUGCACCCCAAGUUCCAAGGCUCUUGAGGGUGCCUAGCAUCAUUUCCCCUGCCCAGGCUGUGUCCAUGGACUCAGGACAGCUCCGCUAGCGAAAAGUGGAAUGGGGAAGGGCGCAAGGCCUGACUCAGGCUUCCAGGCUUGUGCCAAGUCUGGGCCCCGUGAGUAGCUUCACCCACCACAUCCUCCUGGGUCAGGGCCUCUGAUCAUCUGAAUCUGUGUUUUCAUGGUCAGAGGCCCAGUCCUACCUAGAAUGCCCACACCAAUGCCUCCCUCCCUCUUCCCUAGGUCUCUCUGCCUUGCUCAGUGCCCCCUCUCCCUGCCCCCAUGGGGAAUGCGGACAUGCUCCUGCAAGGCUAGGCCUGGCUCCACUCACCCACAGAGAUGUGCCGGGAAGUGCCAAACAGGAAAUAAACAAAGACAGGAUAGAAGGAGCUGUAGAGGCCAUACACGGGGGGCAGUCCAGCCAGGAGGGCAUAGGCCAGGCCUAGAGGUGGAAUGGUAGCAAUGUAGACUUGAGGUCAGGGGCUUGAAAGGAUGCGGAAAUGCUGCCCCUGGGUCAUGCACCAUAGUCCCAGGGGCAGGAGUCAUGCUUUGGGCCGUGGGGAAGGCGAGGGUUGAGGUGGGGGUGGGGUGCACAGACCACAGGCUAAGGCCUUGAAGGGUCAGGAUCACCAUCCAAGGGCUGAGGGUACAGUCUCGAGGUCAAGUGCGGCUUACCCUGUGGUAGCUGCAUAAUGGCCACACUCAGGCCAGACAACAAGUCACCCAGAAGCCAGUCACGCACAGAAUACUGGGGGAGCCAGGCCAAAACCGGGAGGUAUUGAAGCAGAAGGGCUUGGGCCCGCGCACGGGAGCACCUGGGGACACCAGGGUAGGUAUUAGGUGCUGGUUUAGUUGCUCAGUCGUGUCCUUCUCUUUGUGACCCCCCAAGGACUGCAGCCCACCAGGUUCCUCUGUCCACAGUAUUUUUCCAGGAAAGAAUACUGGAGUGGGUUGCCAUUUCCUUCUCCAGGGGAUCUUCACGACCCUGGGAAUUGAACCUAGGUCUCCAGCAUUGCAGGCAGAUUCUUCACCCACUGAGCCACCAAGCCCAAGCCCAAGUAGGUAUCAGAGGCAGGGGUCCCUGGGUUCUGGCCAGGGCCCACUGUCAACCUUACCGAAACCAGGUUCGCCACUGGAGCGUCACUGGUGCUGGGCUCCGGCUCCCCAGCUCUUCCAGCUGUUCUUGGUUCAGCAGCGGCCGCUCCACACGGUAGUCUCGCCGCCUCAGCUCCAUGGCCUGCGUCCUGGACAGCAGUGCCUGCGUGUCCCUCUCUCUGGUGGGUGUGGGGGUGAGGGGGCGGUGAGGCCAGAAACAGUGAGGGCACAACCUGGCCCAGCCACCCCUAGACCUCCACCCGGGACUGGAGGAUGCCCCACCUGGCUUUUCUAGGUCUCAAGAUCUAGACAGGUCCAACCCCCUAGCUGCCUCUUGCAGGCCCCAAGGCCCACGCCCAGGCAGGGGCAGUACCUGAACUUUGGCUAGUGGAAAACUCUCGCUGGGCCAAAGUCCCCCACAAAGAGACAGCAGGAUGAGCAUAAGCCACACUUCGGCCCAGGUGUGGUUGCCCAGCCUUUGCUGUUCGCCAAUCUAGCUUGCAGGCUAACUGCUCCUCCCAGCCUCCUCCCCCAACCCCUGCUCUCCGCCAGCCAAUCCCCACCAGUCUGAGUCCUUAUCCAGCCGCCCCACGAGCCCAGUGCGUGUUGUCUGAGAGUGCAGACACGGGAGGAGGAAUCCAGCAUAGCAGGCAAGCCUCUCUAUAGGAGGAGGCGGCUCUAAGAAAAGCAAAGCAUCGGGGCUAAGACUGCCCGCAGGGCUCCAGUCACACGGUCCAGGUGGUAGACAACUGAGGCCCCAUAUGGGAAACCCAGGGGCUUGGUUCUCACCAGGAGGGAAGACUUUCGAGCCUGGAAAGGGACGCUCCCUUAUUAAUGAGGGACAAUCUCACUUGAGAAGAUGAUCUCUGGGAGGAUCUCGCCUAAUAAGAAGCUCUUCCCUGACAGGUAAGUUUUCACCAGCUAGGUGAGGUCUGUCCUGGGGAGAAUCUCUGAUCUGCCCAGUGGCUACCAUCUGAAUAAGGGGAAUGAUCUCACUGGAAUAGGAGAUCUGGGUGGAGGGGAGGGAGUUCUUAGGGGUCCCUGACAGCUCAGUGGUAAAACAAACAAAAAAACCAGCCUGCAAUUCAGGAGACACAGGUGCGAUCCCUGAGAAUCCCAUGGACAGAGGAGAGGAGGCUGGUGGGCUACAGUUCAUGUCGUCGCCGAGUAGGCCAUGACUGAACUCACAGGCAUGGGAAAGGAAAUUUUACCUGGGUGCGCCCUCACCUGGGAGAAGCUGUCCCAGAAAUAGUUCUCCCCUGGGAAUAGGAGCUCUUAGAGAGUGAGCGCUUACCUGGGGGAAAGUUUUCACCUGCCAGGGAACUUCUGAUCAGGAGGGACUUCUCACCUAAGGUAAGCUCUGAGUGGGGAAAGCUCUCACCUAGGAAGGGAUCUCAGAGGGGGAAAGCUUACCUGGAGAGUAGCUCCCCUCUUCAGGGGGAAAGCAUUAACCUGUCAGGAAAUUUCUGACCUGUGAAAAGCUCUGACCUAAGGUAAGGUUCCCAGCUGGCGGGCAGGAGCUCACCUGGAAAGGGCCUCUAACCUGGAUGUCCCGGUGGAAGGAGGGAGUGGAGUGGGUGCAAGGACGAUCCUGAGACUACUGGCAUGGCAGACUCACAGAGAUCUUUGAGCCCCCCUCGCCCCUCCUCCGUGAGUCACUCGAGGUCUUACAGGGCGCCCACUCCCGC
rnacentral:lncRNA from 1 species